AAGAGAAGAAGAAAAUUCCUCAGUAUUUGGAUUUCAGGAGGAUAUUACGAUGGUCUCAUAUUGCCCAAAAAAAAUAAAUCCGUUAUUUUAGUAUCUCCAAUGUACCAUGAUGAUGCGAUCGAUCUGGAAACAGAAGAUAAAAGAAAACCAGAAAUAGUGACAUUUUAUAACCACACCAAAAUUGGCGUCGACUUAGUGGACCAACUAUGUCAAAAAUACAACGUUGUGAGAAAUUCACGACGUUGGCCAAUGGUUCUUUUUUACAAUCUGCUGAACGUAGCUGGAAUAAAUGCCCUCUGCUUUUACAAAGCGAACCAUCCUUCGGAAAAAAAAAAUAAGGAGUGAUUUCAUUGAAAAAUUUGCUUGGGAACUCAUCAAGCCACAAAUAGAGGCCAGGUCAAAUAUGACCUGCUUACCCAUAGAACUCAGAAGAUGAGCGCGUUCCCUUCUUGGACUCGAAGCGACAUUACCCUCGCCACCUGAUCUACCAAGGCAAGAAAAUCCUAUAAGACGAUGUAAUAUAUGUCCUAGAAGCCGUAACAAGUCAACAAGGAAAGUGUGCGUGAAAUGCGAAAGACACGCUUGCAAGCAACAUGCAGUAGAUAUUUGCACUGAAUGUUUGGAUGGUUGAAGAAAUCGCCAUAAUUGUGUGAAUUUUCCAUGAAUAUGAUAAUUUCUAUCGAAUGUAGCAAAUUGUAUUUUUCACAUUUGGUUUGACUUUUUUCGGAUUAUUGUUUUUUUUUUAGCUUUUCAUAAUUGUUUUUUGUUUGUUGUCCAAAAUUUACAAGACGCAGAUAAAACUAUGAAAAACGUGAUUCUUUUGCUUUCUUAUUCAAACAGUGAGGUUCUUGAAAAUUUUCAUGAAGAAAUUUUUUCAUCAUUGAAGCAGAUACAUCAACAAAACUGAAUAACCAAUUUAGCCAAUGAUUAUAGCCUGAGUAUGUGAUUUAAUGACCAAUCAUUUUGGAUUACGUUUGUAAUCCACGCGCCUAAACGCGUUAGGAAAUACCGCGCGCCUAACGAAGGGUUAACAAUCCAAAAAAUGAGGAUAAUGGUUUAUCAAAGCUUAUUUGGAUUCUCAAUUCGAUAUCAAAUAAUUAUGGAAAGUAAAAUCUAAAAAAGAGUUCGUAUUUCUCAAUUCUGCUCUCAUUAUGAAGAAACCGUCUUUACAACCAUAAUCAUAGGUGACCAUUUGACAAUCAUUUCAUUUCAUGUCAAAAAUGCGGCUGCAUAUUCCGACACGCAUUAGUAGAACUCGAGAAAGAAACGAAAUCAUCGCAAUACGUUACAAAUUCAUUCAAUCUGGGCUGAGGGCCUAAUACGUUCUCGAUAUUUCUACCACGAUAGUCGACGCCCACCGCUCUUGCCCCUUCACGUUGCGACCCCUCUGCUUCCCAAGCGGUGUGGUGUGAACAGAAUCUUAAAAGUGGUCGAGUUAUUGCUGAAUGAAAUGACUGACGGUGAGGACACUGCUCCUAAUGAAUAUGUUGAAAAAUAUACUAGACGCUUACUAGCAAAAAGAAAUAGGCAAAAAAAAAUAGCAAAAAAAGAUAGGCUGUAUGAAAUAUGGCAUUCAUUAUUUCUCCUCAGAAUUUGGCGACAGUGGAUCAAGAAAUCCAAUAAAUACACCUUGAAAGUAAUUUCAUAACUCUAAAUACAUACACGUGCAUCGAUCUCAAUGCACAUGCUCUUGUAGUUCUCAUAAAGGAAUUUCAUUCUGAGGAAAAUUUGACAACAGACAUAUUUUUGCUUUGGCUGACGAUCCAACCCUGUGAACAAUUGUUCAGAGCCACCAGAGCUAUGACGACCACCUUCUCCAACAUUGUAACGUUUUUUUUCUUUUUAUCAUUUUUAUUUUAAUAUUAUUUCUGCUCGGAGAAUGAAUGUACCGCUGAAGUGGAAUCGUCAGGUACACUUUCUAAUUGUUUUUGUCUUGUUCGCGAUUCUGGUAUUGAAUUGCUAGAAAUUGUGUUGGGGUGGUCAUUUCAAAUAAAUAUAUCAUUUCCCGCUCCUCAAGUAUAGGCAACCAAUAUAACAUCUUUUCUCGUCAAAUUGUCAAGUCGCAAAAACUUGUUUUGAAUCCCAUCUGUGAAAUAUAGAUACAUCAAUUGGAACGCAUUUUUCCGUAUUUCUCGAGUGUAGAGCAUCUCAGCUAAUCCGAAUAAAGAUUUUCUGUCUUCGACCAUUUGAGUUGGAUUAUUUGGAAAAUUGCAGAUAAUAUCAUAAUUUUGCUGAUUAUUUUGGAUAUUUAUAUCACGUUUUGGAAUCAAGCAGAAUUUCCGUCUUGUACGGGAUAAAAAUUCUACAUACUCUGAUAGAAAUUUCUAUAAAAGCCGCCCUCCAUCUUAGGCUUUCAAUUCUUCUGAAUAUUUUACUGAUUCGAUAUAUAAGUGGAUCAACCUGAAUUAUUGGCGUGUUGGUUGAUGCAAAGACAUCCCUUGGACAUAGGCACCCCCAUUGCCUUAUACUGAGGGUUGGAAUAACUUCUAACCGGUUGGGAGCGAACCGAAUUCAACAUUUCCA